AAUCAACCGAGAUUCCCCCAGUAGCGGCGAGCGAACGGGGAGCAGCCCGGAGUCUGAAUCAGCUUGUGUGUUAGUGGAACGGUCUGGAAAGUCCGACGGUACAGGGUGAUAGUCCCGUACACGAAAACACACUUGCUGUGAACUCGAAGAGUAGGGCGGGACACGUGGUAUCCUGUCUGAAUAUGGGGGGACCAUCCUCCAAGGCUAAAUACUCCUGACUGACCGAUAGUGAACCAGUACCGUGAGGGAAAGGCGA
rnacentral:rRNA from 1 species